rnacentral:lncRNA from 10 species
CCAGGUCUCUGCUGGUCCCUAGGAAGCACUUUGACCUCUGCUUCCCCUUCAAAUGCUGUGGAUCAAGCCUCCCCAACCCCACCAUCCCACCAAAGGGGGCUGCUGACCGAGAGAGCUCACUCAGCCAGGAUGAGGGCAAAAGAGUUUAAGAUGGUGGAGCCUUAUUAUGCAAAGGAACCCAAUCCCAGCGUCCACUGGAAGAAGACUGCCCAGGACUUCUACCUUCCCGGGAACAUCUGCCCAGAGUCCACCAGCUGGAAGAAGACUGCCCAGGACUUCUACCUUCCUGGGAACAUCUGCAUCAGACUCUGUGGGGUAGGGAAAUAAACCUUCAUUGUGUUCA